ACAGUGUCUGGUGGGUAGUUUGACUGGGGCGGUCUCCUCCUAAAGAGUAACGGAGGAGCACGAAGGUUGGCUAAUCCUGGUCGGACAUCAGGAGGUUAGUGCAAUGGCAUAAGCCAGCUUGACUGCGAGCGUGACGGCGCGAGCAGGUGCGAAAGCAGGUCAUAGUGAUCCGGUGGUUCUGAAUGGAAGGGCCAUCGCUCAACGGAUAAAAGGUACUCCGGGGAUAACAGGCUGAUACCGCCCAAGAGUUCAUAUCGACGGCGGUGUUUGGCACCUCGAUGUCGGCUCAUCACAUCCUGGGGCUGAAGUAGGUCCCAAGGGUAUGGCUGUUCGCCAUUUAAAGUGGUACGCGAGCUGGGUUUAGAACGUCGUGAGACAGUUCGGUCCCUAUCUGCCGUGGGCGCUGGAGAACUGAGGGGGGCUGCUCCUAGUACGAGAGGACCGGAG
rnacentral:rRNA from 1 species